rnacentral:rRNA from 1 species
CGCAUCUGUGCAUGCAGCAUAUCAAUAAGCGGAGGAAAAGAAACUAACAAGGAUUCCCCUAGUAACGGCGAGUGAAGCGGGAAGAGCUCAAAUUUGAAAUCUUAAAGGGUUUCCCUUUACGAAUUGUAGUUUAAAGAAGUGUUUUCUGUUGAGGUUUUGGUAAAAGUUCUUUGGAAUAGGACAUCAUAGAGGGUGAGAAUCCCGUAUUUGACCUUUACUUUCAACUUUGUGAUACACUUUCAAAGAGUCGGAUUGUUUGGGAAUGCAGUCCAAAAUGGGUGGUAAAUUUCAUCUAAAGCUAAAUAUUGGCGAGAGACCGAUAGCGAACAAGUACCGUGAGGGAAAGAUGAAAAGGACUUUGAAAAGAGAGUUAAACAGUACGUGAAAUUGUCAAAAGGGAAGCGUUUGACACCAGUGUUGUUUUUCUGAAAAUCAAUUAAAGAACUGUUUAUGCUAAGUUGUUUAGACUUUAUCAGCUAUCUGUUUAGUUUUGAGCUUUUCUUUAAUGCACUUUUCAGUUAACAAGUCAACAUCAAUUUCUUUUGCUGUAAAAAAGCUUGAGGAAGGUGGCUUGAGAUUCGUCUUAAGUGUUUAUAGCCUCUUGCCUAUGCAGUCGGAGAGAUUGAGGUCUGCAGCGUAGAUCCUUCGGGGCUAAAUGCAUUUGUGCUAAGUUAUAGCAUUUUAUAGACAACUUGUUGACUAUGAUUUGUCUUGUAGCUUACUCGCUUAUGUUAUUUUACCUACGCUUAGGAUGUUGAGUCGUAGAGCACGCAG